rnacentral:rRNA from 1 species
CAAGGCUAAAUACUCCCUAGUGACCGAUAGUGAACCAGUACCGUGAGGGAAAGGUGAAAAGCACCCCGGAAGGGGAGUGAAACAGUUCCUGAAACCGUGUGCCUACAAUUAGUCAAAGCCCGUUAAUGGGUAAUGGCGUGCCUUUUGUAGAAUGAACCGGCGAGUUACGUUUGCUUGCGAGGUUAAGAUGAAAAGUCGGAGCCGUAGCGAAAGCGAGUCUGAACAGGGCGAAUGAGUAAGCAGAUGUAGACCCGAAACCAAGUGACCUACCCAUGACCAGGUUGAAGGUGUGGUGAAACACACUGGAGGACCGAACCCAUGUAUGUUGAAAAAUGCUGGGAUGAGUUGUGGGUAGCGGUGAAAUUCCAAACGAACUUGGAGAUAGCUGGUUCUCUCCGAAAUAGCUUUAGGGUUAGCCUCGGAGGAUGGAUCAUGGAGGUAGAGCACUGUUUGAACUAGGGGCCCAUCAAGGGUUACUGAAUUCAGAUAAACUCCGAAUACCAUCGAUCUUACUCCGGGAGUCAGACAGUGAGCGAUAAGGUCCAUUGUCGAAAGGGGAACAGCCCAGAUCACCAGUUAAGGUCCCUAAAUUUAUGCUAAGUGGAAAAGGAUGUGGCGUUGCACAGACAACUAGGAUGUUGGCUCAGAAGCAGCCACCAUUUAAAGAGUGCGUAAUAGCUCACUAGUCGAGUGGCACUGCGCCGAAAAUAUACCGGGGCUAAGCAUAAUACCGAAACUGUGGGUGCACCCGUAAGGGUGCGCGGUAGGAGAGCGUUCUAAGGGCGUUGAAGGUCGAUCGUGAGGACGGCUGGAGCGCUUAGAAGUGAGAAUGCCGGCAUGAGUAGCGAAAGAUCAGUGAGAAUCUGAUCCACCGUAUGACUAAGGUUUCCUGGGGAAGGCUCGUCCUCCCAGGGUUAGUCGGGAUCUAAGGCGAGGCCGAGAGGCGUAGUCGAUGACAAGCAGGUUGAGAUUCCUGCACUAGUUUAUUUUGUUUAAGCGAUGGAGGGACGCAGGAGGCUAAGGAAAGCGCACGGCUGGAAAUGUGCGCCCAAGCAGCAAGUCUGACAGCGAGUGAAAUGCUUGCAGUCUUAAGGACAAGCUGUGAUGGGGAGCGAAAUUAUAGUAGCGAAGUUCCUGAUGUCACACUGCCAAGAAAAGCUUCUAGUGAGAAAUAAACUACCCGUACCGCAAACCGACACAGGUAGUCGAGGAGAGUAUCCUCAGGUGAGCGAGCGAACUCUCGUUAAGGAACUCGGCAAAAUGACCCCGUAACUUCGGAAGAAGGGGUGCUGACCGCAAGGUCAGCCGCAGUGAAUAGGCCCAAACAACUGUUUAUCAAAAACACAGGUCUCUGCUAAAUCGUAAGAUGAUGUAUAGGGGCUGACGCCUGCCCGGUGCUGGAAGGUUAAGAGGAUGAGUUAGCGCAAGCGAAGCCCAGAAUUGAAGCCCCAGUAAACGGCGGCCGUAACUAUAACGGUCCUAAGGUAGCGAAAUUCCUUGUCGGGUAAGUUCCGACCCGCACGAAAGGCGUAAUGAUUUGGGCACUGUCUCAACGAGAGACUCGGUGAAAUUAUAGUACCCGUGAAGAUGCGGGUUACCCGCGACAGGACGGAAAGACCCCAUGGAGCUUUACUGUAGCUUGAUAUUGAGUGUUUGUACCGCUUGUACAGGAUAGGUAGGAGCCGUAGAGAUCGGAACGCUAGUUUCGAUGGAGGCGUUGGUGGGAUACUACCCUAGCUGUAUGAACACUCUAACCCGCGCCACUAAUCGUGGCGGGAGACAGUGUCAGGUAGGCAGUUUGACUGGGGCGGUCGCCUCCUAAAAUGUAACGGAGGCGCCCAAAGGUU